CUUUUGGAGCGGCCGAUGUCUGAUUAGCUAGUUGGUGAGGUAAAGGCUUACCAAGGCGUCGAUCAGUAGCUGGUCUGAGAGGACGACCAGCCACACUGGGACUGAGACACGGCCCAGACUCCUACGGGAGGCAGCAGUGGGGAAUUUUGGACAAUGGGGGAAACCCUGAUCCAGCCAUGCCGCGUGAGUGAAGAAGGCCUUCGGGUUGUAAAGCUCUUUCAGCCGGAACGAAACGGUCACGGCUAAUACCUGUGACUACUGACGGUACCGGAAGAAGAAGCACCGGCUAACUACGUGCCAGCAGCCGCGGUAAUACGUAGGGUGCGAGCGUUAAUCGGAAUUACUGGGCGUAAAGCGUGCGCAGGCGGUUUUGUAAGUCAGAUGUGAAAUCCCCGGGCUUAACCUGGGAACUGCGUUUGAAACUACAAAGCUAGA
rnacentral:rRNA from 1 species